UCGGACAUGGUGUAUGGUACACGGCCUCCCUACAUGAGAGAUGUCAAGAAGAAGGUUGUUGGAGGCAGACCGGGGUUCGACUCCCCGUGUCCGAA